rnacentral:rRNA from 1 species
UACAGAGGGUGCAAGCGUUGUUCGGAAUUAUUGGGCGUAAAGCGCGUGUAGGCGGCUUUGCAAGUCGGGUGUGAAAGCCCUCGGCUCAACCGAGGAAGUGCGCCCGAAACUGCAGAGCUUGAGUACCGGAGAGGAUGGCGGAAUUCCCCAAGUAGAGGUGAAAUUCGUAGAUAUGGGGAGGAACACCGGUGGCGAAGGCGGCCAUCUGGACGGAUGCUGACGCUGAGACGCGAAAGCGUGGGGAGCAAACAGG